GCUGCGGUGUCCGAGUGGUUAAGGAGAUGGACUUGAAAUCCAUUGGGUUCUGCCCGCACAGGUUCGAAUCCUGUCCGCAGCG
rfam:Glossina palpalis gambiensis isolate 146720 unplaced genomic scaffold Scaffold62, whole genome shotgun sequence.